GUGCUUGCUUUGGCAGCACAUAUUCUAAAUUGGAACGAUACAGAGAAGAUUAGCAUGGCCCUGUGCAAGUUUGCAAGACAUGCAAAUUCAUGAAGCGUUCCAUAUUUUU